rnacentral:lncRNA from 1 species
UCCUCUGUGAAGUUGCAGCUGCUCUGCAGCCAGGUACUAAAGAGCUGCUGGGAUAGGGGAAUGAUGAUCCAGGCUGAGGGUGAGGGGCUGGUGAAUAGGGUACUGGCAGCCUCUGAAGGUCUCCUUUUCCUAUAGUAUGAGAAGAUCCUGAAGCUCACAGCUGAUGUCAAGUUUGAGUCAGGCGAUGUGAAGGACACAGUAGCAGUGCUGAGUUUCAUCCUCUCCAGUGCGGCCAAGCACAGUGUCGAUGGCGGCUCCUUGGCCAGUGAACUGCAGCAGCUGGGGCUGCCCAAAGAGCACGCGGCCAGCCUGUGCCACUGUUAUGAGGAGAAGCAAAGCCCCUUGCAGAAGCACUUGUGGAUCUACAGCCUACGCAGCAACCCCAAAGUCCAGUCCUUCGGGGUCCAAGAGGGAAGAAGCCCCUGGCUGUGUGACCUUGGGCUGGUGCCUGGCUCUCUCUGGCUCUGAGUUCCUGGGAACGUCAGCACCCAAGGCAUGCCCUCAAGUUUAACACCUUGACAAGAAGGGUGGGGACACUGGGAUCAGGCCUAACCCUCUGGCCCCAAACCCUGUGGCCCCAGCUGGAGGAUGAGGAGAUGCUGGGCUUGGAUGGGGGAAUCAGGGGGGUAAAGGGACCUGCUCGCCCCUCAGCUUGGCUCAAAGGCUCAAAGUGUCAAAGGUUAAGCCUGCCCCUCAGGAAGCAGCCCUGGCCCAGCCAGACACUCACCAGGACAAGGGAAACUCUGACGAGCAGGAGGCUCAGGAUGAGGAGAGCCACGGCAUAGCUGGAGAUGAAGACGUCUAGUGGGCUGGAGGCUUUGGGGCCAGGAGUGCCUAGAGCAGAGCUAGAAGACUAUGACCAGGUGGGGCCCUGCCUCCCAGACUUCUGAGAAGGCAGAAUCUGGGCCCAGAAGGUGUUGUGGGACCAGAGAUCUGGGGCUAGGAGCAUCUUGGAGGGCUCCAUGAGGAGGGGAGGCAGGCUUCAGAUCAGGGCAUGUGGAGUAGGCAGAUGGACAGAGGGAGAGGGCCUGCAGAGGGAAGGAGGUACUGACUGAGGUCUGGGAUGACGGGUGUGCAGACCCUGGUGCAAACAGUCCCAGGAAGCUUUUACUCCUGGGGGGAGGCGGAGAGGGAGCAGGCCUGUCGCAUGGUGAGAGAGGAAGAAAGAGAGAGGAGGCAUCAGGCUCUUUUAAACAACCAGCUCUCCUAUGAACUGAUAAAAAACUCACUCAUUGAAUCACUUGAACCUGGGAGAUGGAGGGUGCAGUGAGCUGAGAUCACACCACUGCACUCCAGCCUGGGCUGUGAGUGAACUCUGUCUCAAAAAAAAAAAAAAAAAAAAAAAAAAAAAAAGAAAAAACAAAAG